GAUGAACGCUGGCGGCGUGCCUAAUACAUGCAAGUCGAACGAGCUCUUCGGAGCUAGUGGCGGACGGGUGAGUAACACGUUGGUACCUACCCCUAAGUGGGGAAUAACUGCCCGAAAGGGUGGCUAAUACCGCAUAAUCCCGCAAGGGUAAAGCAGUAAUGCGCUUAGGGAGGGGCCUGCGUCCCAUUAGCUUGUUGGUAGUGUAAUGGACUACCAAGGCGACGAUGGGUAGCUGGAUCGAGAGGUUGACCAGCCACACUGGGACUGAGAUACGGCCCAGACUCCUACGGGAGGCAGCAGUAAGGAAUCUUCCACAAUGGACGAAAGUCUGAUGGAGCAACGCCGCGUGCAGGAUGACGGCCUUCGGGUUGUAAACUGCUUUUAUAUGGGAAGAUUAUGACGGUACCAUAUGAGUAAGGACCGGCUAAUUACGUGCCAGCCGCCGCGGUAA
rnacentral:rRNA from 1 species